ensembl:lncRNA
UGAAUUCAAAAUCUGUCCCCUCAUCUGGAGGAAAACACAUCAUCCGUGCUGUCCUACAUUAACUUCACUGUAGGUGUAUCCAAAUGAGAAACCGUGGAUAAACAGUGAAAUCAAGUGACACCAGGUUUCAAAUGUGCAAACUAUGAAUAGAGGAGGACCUUAGUGCUAAUACCUGUAAUACCUGUACAUCACAGAUGUUUACACAAAUCAACGACUCUGUCAGCAUGGUAGAGGAACUCAACUGCUUUUUUGCACGAUUUCAUAGCUGCAGUCACAACCCAGUCAUAAACCAACAGGUGACAACCCAAGGUCCCCUCCUCUACUCACUCAUCAACUCAUCAGGUACAGCUGCCUCUCUGUACCAUCAACACAAGGAAAGCAGCCGGUCCUGAUGGAGCGCAUGGAUGCUUGCUACAGGCCUGUGCUAACCAAAUAACAGAGAUCAUCAAAAGAUUUAGAGAAACCGGAGAUGUCUCUGCGCACAAGGCCCGAAGACCUUCAUUGGAAACCCGAGGUCUUCGGGCCCUCUGACGACAUUCCAUUACUCAUCGGCGUGAUUGCGUCCCUGACAUUACUAAAUGGGCCCAGGAAUACUUCCAGAAACCACUGCUGGUAAACACAAUCCACCGUGCCAUCUACAGAUGCCAACUAAAUCUCUGUCAUUUACAAAGGAAGUCAUAUUUGAACAUGCUCAGUUCAAAAGCCAGCGUCUCUGAUGGUAUGGAGUGCAUAAGUGCAUAUUGUUUGGGUAGCUGACAUGUUUUGAAAGCAACUAUGAAUGCUGAAAGGUGUAUAAAGGUUUCACAGCAACAUGUGCUCUCCUCCAGAUGACGUGUAUUUCAGCAGGACAAACCACAUGCAGCUGUUACAUCAGCAUGGCUUUGUCAGAGACAAGUCCAGGUGCUGAAUUGGCCUGCCCCAUCAGUCCCAGAUAGAGAAGAUUUGGCACAUCAAUUAAAAAAAAAAAAAUAUGUCAAAG